rnacentral:rRNA from 1 species
GAUGAACGCUGGCGGCGUGCUUAUCACAUGCAAGUCGAACGAUGAACCGGGUGCUUGCACUCGGGGAUUAGUGGCGAACGGGUGAGUAACACGUGAGCAACCUGCCCCUGACUCUGGGAUAAGCGCUGGAAACGGCGUCUAAUACUGGAUAUGUCCCGUCACCGCAUGGUGUGCGGGUGGAAAGAUUUUUCGGUUGGGGAUGGGCUCGCGGCCUAUCAGCUUGUUGGUGAGGUAAUGGCUCACCAAGGCGUCGACGGGUAGCCGGCCUGAGAGGGUGACCGGCCACACUGGGACUGAGACACGGCCCAGACUCCUACGGGAGGCAGCAGUGGGGAAUAUUGCACAAUGGGCGGAAGCCUGAUGCAGCAACGCCGCGUGAGGGAUGACGGCCUUCGGGUUGUAAACCUCUUUUAGCAGGGAAGAAGCGAGAGUGACGGUACCUGCAGAAAAAGCACCGGCUAACUACGUGCCAGCAGCCGCUGUAA